GGCCGGUUUCUCGAUCGUUGAUGCGGAAAUAGGUUGAGAUCUCCAUCGGGGAGACAGUGUCCUUCGGGAUGUAGCAGAAGGAGCCGUCACUGAAGACGGCGGAGUUGAGGGCGGCAUAGUAGUUGUCGCGUGGCGGGACGACACGGCCGAGGUAGCGGCGGACGAGGUCGGGGUAAUCUUUCACGGCUUCGGAGAUGGAGCAGAAGAUGACGCCGACCUUGGCGAGGGCGGCGCGGUGGGUGGUGGCGAUGGAGGUAGAGUCCAUGACGGCGUCAACGGCGACGUUGCUCAGUCGCUUCUUCUCGUUGAGGGGGAUGCCGAGGCGGUCGAAGAUAGCGAUCAUCUCGGGGUCAACUUCGUCGAGGGAAUCGAGUUUGGGCUUGAGCUUGGGCUCGGAGUAGAAGCAGAUGGACUGGAGGUCGAUGGGGGGGUAGCGGUUGUCGGACCACUGGGGCUCACGCAUGGAGAGGAAGGUGCGGAGGGCGGCGAGGCGGAAGUCGAGGAGCCAUUCGGGUUCGGAUUUGUGGCUGGAGAUGCGGCGGACGGUUUCUUCGUUCAGGCCUUUGGGGAUGGAGAUGGAAGGGAUGGUGUUUCGGAAGCCAGCGGUGUAGGGGCG
rnacentral:misc_RNA from 1 species